GGUGAUAUGAACCGUUAUAACCGGCGAUUUCCGAAUGGGGAAACCCAGUGUGUUUCGACACACUAUCAUUAACUGAAUCCAUAGGUUAAUGAGGCGAACCGGGGGAACUGAAACAUCUAAGUACCCCGAGGAAAAGAAAUCAACCGAGAUUCCCCCAGUAGCGGCGAGCGAACGGGGAGCAGCCCAGAGCCUGAAUCAGUGUGUGUGUUAGUGGAAGCGUCUGGAAAGGCGCGCGAUACAGGGUGAGAGCCCCGUACACAAAAAUGCACAUACUGUGAGCUCGAUGAGUAGGGCGGGACACGUGGUAUCCUGUCUGAAUAUGGGGGGACCAUCCUCCAAGGCUAAAUACUCCUGACUGACCGAUAGUGAACCAGUACCGUGAGGGAAAGGCGAAAAGAACCCCGGCGAGGGGAGUGAAAAAGAACCUGAAACCGUGUACGUACAAGCAGUGGGAGCACGCUUAGGCGUGUGACUGCGUACCUUUUGUAUAAUGGGUCAGCGACUUAUAUUCUGUAGCAAGGUUAACCGAAUAGGGGAGCCGAAGGGAAACCGAGUCUUAACUGGGCGUUAAGUUGCAGGGUAUAGACCCGAAACCCGGUGAUCUAGCCAUGGGCAGGUUGAAGGUUGGGUAACACUAACUGGAGGACCGAACCGACUAAUGUUGAAAAAUUAGCGGAUGACUUGUGGCUGGGGGUGAAAGGCCAAUCAAACCGGGAGAUAGCUGGUUCUCCCCGAAAGCU
rnacentral:rRNA from 1 species